rnacentral:tRNA from 1 species
GCCGGGGUGUGACGAAUUGGUAAGUCGACAGGUUGCUAACCUGUGUUCGAGAGGGCGUCCGGGUUCGAGUCCUGGCCCCGGAC